rnacentral:rRNA from 1 species
GACGAACGCUGGCGGCGUGCUUAACACAUGCAAGUCGAGCGGAGCGGUGAACGGGAGAGUAACGCGUGAGUAACUGCCCCCCUCUCCGGGAUAACAGUUGGAAACGGCCGCUAAUACCGGAUAGUGGGGGAUGACUCGCGUCCUAUCAGCUUGUUGGCGGGGUAGUGGCCUACCAAGGCGACGACGGGCAGCCGGCCUGAGAGGGGGGCCGGCCACAUUGGGCUGGGGUACGGCCCAGACUCCUACGGGAGGCAACCGUGGAGAAUAUUGCACAAUGGGGGAGAGCCUGAUACAGCGUCGCCGCGUGCGGAAUGACGGCCUUCGGGUUGUAAACCGCUUUCAGCCAUGACGCGGUAGUGGCAGAAGAAGCCCCGGCUAACUACGUGCCAGCAGCCGCGGUAAUUC